AUUGAACGCUGGCGGCAUGCUUUACACAUGCAAGUCGAACGGCAGCACGGGGGCAACCCUGGUGGCGAGUGGCGAACGGGUGAGUAAUGCAUCGGAACGUGCCCAGUAGUGGGGGAUAACGCGUCGAAAGGUGUGCUAAUACCGCAUACGCACUACGGUGGAAAGCGGGGGACCGCAAGGCCUCGCGCUAUUGGAGCGGCCGAUGUCCGAUUAGCUAGUUGGUGGGGUAAUGGCCUACCAAGGCGACGAUCGGUAGCUGGUCUGAGAGGAUGAGCAGCCACACUGGGACUGAGACACGGCCCAGACUCCUACGGGAGGCAGCAGUGGGGAAUUUUGGACAAUGGACGCAAGUCUGAUCCAGCCAUUCCGCGUGCAGGAUGAAGGCCCUCGGGUUGUAAACUGCUUUUGUACGGAACGAAAAGGUCUCUAUUAAUACUGGGGGCUCAUGACGGUACCGUAAGAAUAAGCACCGGCUAACUACGUGCCAGCCGCCGCCGUAAUAC
rnacentral:rRNA from 1 species